GCAGCGAUGUCCGAGUGGUUAAGGAGAUUGACUCGAAAUCAAUUGGGCUCCGCCCGCGCAGGUUCGAAUCCUGCUCGCUGCG
rnacentral:tRNA from 1 species